UCCUGGGUCCUCCGCGGAGGUUCCAACUACGUCGACGCGGCUGCAGAUGCUGACGCCACCUUCCUGGGACCUGCAAGACCGGUUUGGGGACCGGAGAUUGUGCUCCCACGGUAUUUUCAUCCUCUGCUGUCUCAGACUGAUUAAUAAGGCCCGAGAAUCCCACGGCAGCCGCCACACCAAGGAGAGUUCCCCAUCCACUCACCCAGGUCAGCUCUGGGCUUCUCUCUGACCAGCAACCAAGGCUCAACUACAAGAUGAAUUGUACUCAGCCACACAAACAGUGCACCUGGAGUACCCAACUUGGAUGAUAGGGAAGACUGUGCCACUGGACCCUACAGGAC